ensembl:lncRNA
CAAAGACCUUGGAAAAUCUCCCUGCCUCCAGCAGCUCAUCCUUCCCUCUCUAACAUACUUACUCCUUGCAGGCUGUCCCAGCUCCUCAUAGCCAUCUGCCACCACUGGCAGGUGAGGAGCGAGGAAGAGGAGCCAAGCGGGGACAGGAGAAGAAGGUCACAGUGGGGGCGGCGGGGAAGAUGGCUGUGGAUGCAGCCAACAGUGAACAUCUGCCAGGAGCUUCUUGGAAAAGCAUUCCUAAAAGACACCACAGGGAUAUAACACACCAUAAUUGCACUGAUGUGAGAAGACCUUCAAAGCUGCUCAGAUCCAGUCUGUGAUUUGGAGUUAAUUCAUUUUCUGGUGUAAGAGCACUCUUAUUAACAGAAAUCCUCCUGCCCAAAUGGAUUAGCAACAGAACUAGGAUCCAAACAGUAGGGAAGUGCUGGU